rnacentral:rRNA from 1 species
ACAGUGCUGAUCAGGGUCUGACCUUAGGGGACGAAUGGAACAGGGUCCCUGCGACAGCUCAGCGCGCCCCAGGGAGGGAACCCCGGGGCGAUUGACGUUCAAGUGACCCUCAGACAUGCGUAGCCCCGCGAGUAAACCGGGGCCGCAAGGUGCGUUCGAAGUGUCAAUCAAUGUGUCCUGCAAUUCACACUAAUUCUCGCAGCUAGCUGCGUUCUUCAUCGAUGCGCGAGCGGAGCGAUCCAUCGCCAAGAGGCACAGACAACUUUUGUUUGUUCAGAUGUCGGCCGCACCUGCCGGUGCCCCACUUGGGAGUUGGCCGAGAUCAUCAGGUGUUUUAAGACAAAACAAACCAAAAAAUCCAGGCGUUUAUCCCGGGUAGCCUGCCCGUCACCUGCGUCAGCAGCACGGCGGCAGGGCUUCCCACAGCGAAGGAGGUAGGCCGCUCCUCCGCCGGCCCACCCAGCCAGAUUCCCACUCGACCUACCCCGGGCCCCAACCCUCUCUGCCGCUCCCCUUUCGGGGAGCCGGACGGAGAGGCGGGCCGGAGUCGGCACGGGCUGGGGGGACGGGUGGGACCGCUAUAGUCUGCAAACCGCAGUCCGGCUGCACGCGGCCAAGCUCCAGGUACCUGGUCGAGAGGGAAGGUCACCCGCUGCGCCGGCGGGCCUGGGCAUCGCUCGCCCACGGAUGUGGGCGGCCUGAACCUCGACGCCCGCCCGUCGAGUACACCCGGCUGCACCAUGGCUCAGGGCUCGCCUGGUGUGCCGGUCCCCUGUCCGCCCUGGGGAGGUUUUAGGAAAGGACUUGGGCCCCCCGGCGUCGCUUAGGGGGCCCAAGUCCUUCUGAUCGAGGCUCACCCCGCAGACAGUGUUAGGCCAGUAGCGGCCCCUGGCGCCGAGAUCGGGUCUUCUUGGAGUCCAGUUGCUUGGGAAUGUAGCCCAAAGCGGGUGGUAAACUCCAUCUAAGGCUAAAUACGGGCGCAAGACCGAUAGCCAACAAGUACCGUAAGGGAAAGUUGAAAAGAACUUUGUAGAGAGAGUUCAAGAGGGCAUGAAACCGUCGGGAGGGGUCCGUGCAGUCCGUGCAGUCUGCCCGGAAGUCUGCCCGGAAGAUUCAACACGGCGGGCAGAUCGGUUGCCUGGAACAGCGGAUCCCCUCGCAGGACUGCUGCAUGUGCGCACCCGGCCCCCGCAAGGUGCAUGUCCUCUGUGGCGGUGCACCGCGACCAGCUCCGGGUCGGCUGGGAAGGCCCUGGGGGGCAGGUGGCUCUCCAAUCUGGCAGAGAGUGUUACAGCCCCCUGGCAGCAGUUUUGCCGUGUCCGUGGGGCAGAGGGAGAUUGACCUCCACCGCGCCCUUCUUUGGCAACCGUCCCGGCCCCUCUCGGGGGUCGCCGGGGUGGCGACAGGGGACGGGGCCCCCUGCUCCUGGUGCGACUGUCGACUGGGGUAAACUGUCCUCAUUGCGCCCCGAUUGCGUUGCGCCGCCUGGCGGGGAGUCCCACGAAUGGCGGCAGGGGUCUGCGAUGAUGUCGGUUACCCACCCGACCCGUCUUGAAACACGGACCAGGGAGUCUAACACGUGCCCGAGUCAGAGGGCCGAACAAAACCCUCUGGUGCAAUUAAUUAAACUGUUUAAUUAAAAUAAAGCAUCGCGAAGGCCUGCGGUGGGUGUUGACGCGAUGUGAUUUCUGCCCCGUGCUCUGAAUGUCAAAGUGAAGAAAUUCAAUGAAGCGCAGGUAAACGUCAGGAGUAACUAUGACUCUGUUAAGGUAGCCAAAUGCCUCGUCAUCUAAUUAGUAACGCGCAUGAAUGGAUGAACGAGAUUCCCACUGUCCCUACCUACUAUCUAGCGAAACCACCGCCAAGGGAAUGGGCGGGGCAGAAUCAGCAGGGAAAGAAGACUGUGUUGAGCUUGACUCUAGUCUGGCAUUGUGAAGAGACAUGAGAGAUGUAGGAUAAGUGGGAGGCCCUCGGGCCGCCGGUGAAAUAUUACUACUCUUAUCGUUUUUCACAUACCCGGUAAGGCAGGGGGCGAGCCGGGUGGGGCUCUUGCUUCUGGCUCCAAGCACCCGGCGCCCACUGGCCGCGACCCGCUCCGGGGACAGUGGCAAGUGGGGAGUUUGACUGGGGCGGUACACCUGUCAAACAAUAAUGCAGGUGUCCUAAGGCAGGCUAAGGGAGGACAGAAACCUCCCACGGAGCAGAAGGGCAAAAGCUUACUUGACCUCGAUUUUCAGUAUGAAUACAGACCGUGAAAGCGGGGCCUCACAAUCCUUUUGACUUAUUGGGUUUCAAUCAGGAGGUGGCAGAAAAGUUACCACAGGGAUAACUGGCUUGUGGCGGCCAAGCGUUCAUAUCGACGUCGCUUUUUGAUCCUUCGAUGUCAGCUCUACCUAUCGUUGUGAACCAGAAUUGAUCAAGCGUUGGAUUGUUCACCCACUAGGGUACGUGAGCUGGGUUUAGACCAUCGUGAGACAGGUUAGUUUUACCCUACUGAUGAUGUGUCGUUGCAAUAGUAAUCCUGCUCAGUACGAGAGGAACCGCAGGUUCAGACAUGUGCUUGGCUGAGGAGCCAAUGAGGCGAAGCUACCAUCUGUGGAAUUAUGACUUAACGCCUCCCUAAGUCAGAAUCCCCCCUAGACUGUAACGAUACCGCAGCGCUGUGGAGCCUCGGUUGGCCUAGGAUAGCCGGCCUCUGGGCCGGAGCGUAGAGCCGCUCGCCUCGGACUCGAGUGUGGACAGAAGGGGACACCUCUCUCGCCCGUAGUGCACCGUAUGUUCGUGGGGAGACUGGUGCUAAAUCAUUUGUAGGGUUCUGUAAGUAACAGAGCAGCUACCUCGCUGCGAUCUAUUGAAAUCCAUCCUCUGAGCCAAGCUUUUGU